GGAGGAGUGGCCGAGCGGUUUAAGGCGGCGGUCUUGAAAACCGUUGAACGAAAGUUCCGGGGGUUCGAAUCCCUCCUCCUCCGCCA
rnacentral:tRNA from 1 species